UUACUUGGAUNACUGUGGUANUUCUNGAGCUAACACAUGCAAACAGAGCUCCAACUGGNGACGGAAGGAGUGCUUUUAUUAGAUCAAAACCAAUCGGUGGCGAUUUCGGUCGUCAUCGUACAAUUUGUUGAAUCUGAAUAACUUUAUGCUGAUCGCACGGUCUUGCACCGGCGACGUAUCUUUCAAAUGUCUGCCUUAUCAACUGUCGAUGGUAGGUUCUGCGCCUACCAUGGUUGUAACGGGUAACGGGGAAUCAGGGUUCGAUUCCGGAGAGGGAGCCUGAGAAACGGCUACCACAUCCAAGGAAGGCAGCAGGCGCGCAAAUUACCCACUCCCGGCACGGGGAGGUAGUGACGAAAAAUAACGAUACGGGACUCAUCCGAGGCCCCGUAAUCGGAAUGAGUACACUCUAAACCCUUUAACGAGGAUCAAUUGGAGGGCAAGUCUGGUGCCAGCAGCCGCGGUAAUUCCAGCUCCAAUAGCGUAUAUUAAAGUUGCUGCGGUUAAAAAGCUCGUAGUCGAAUUUGUGUCCCGUGCCGCCGGUUCAUCGUUCGCGGUGUCAACUGGCGUGUUGCGGGACGUCCUGUCGGUGGGCUUAGCUCGCGAGGGCGGCCCAAGAUUAAUUUCCCGCCGCGGUGCUCUUCAUUGAGUGUCGAGGUGGGCCGACACGUUUACUUUGAACAAAUUAGAGUGCUUAAAGCAGGCUAAAAUUACGCCUGAAUAUUCUGUGCAUGGAAUAAUGGAAUAGGACCUCGGUUCUAUUUUGUUGGUUUUCGGAACCCCGAGGUAAUGAUUAAUAGG
rnacentral:rRNA from 1 species